AGUUCGGAUUGCAGGCUGCAACCCGCCUGCAUGAAGUUGGAAUCGCUAGUAANCGCGGAUCAGCAUGCCGCGGUGAAUACGUUCCCGGGCCUUGUACACACCGCCCGUCACACCAUGAGAGUCGGGAACACCCGAAGUCCGUAGCCUGACCGCAAGGGGGGCGCGGCCGAAGGUGGGUUCGAUAAUUGGGGUGAAGUCGUAACAAGGUAAC
rnacentral:rRNA from 1 species